rnacentral:rRNA from 1 species
UACGGGGGGGCAAGCGUUGUUCGGAAUUACUGGGCGUAAAGGGCUCGUAGGCGGCCAACUAAGUCAGACGUGAAAUCCCUAGGCUCAAACCUAGGAACUGCGUCUGAUACUGGAUGGCUUGAAUCCGGGAGAGGGAUGCAGAAUUCCAGGUGGUAGCGGUGAAAUGCGUAGAUAUCUGGAGGAAUACCGGUGGCGAAGGCGAGUCCCUGGAAAAUACCUGACACUGACGGCACGAAAGCUAGGGGAGCAAACAGG